CCCUUAGAUGUUCUGGGCCGCACGCGCGCUACACUGAUUCAUUCAACGAGUUUCUUCCUGGUCCGAGAGGAAUGGGUAACCUUUUGAAAGUGCAUCGUGAUAGGGAUAGACUAUUGCAAUUAUUGGUCUUCAACGAGGAAUUCCUAGUAGACGUAGUUCAUCAGACUGCAUCGAUUACGUCCCUGCCCUUUGUACACACCGCCCGUCGCUCCUACCGAUUGAAUGCUCAGGUGAGCCAUUCGGACUUUCAUCAUGCUGGUUUCCAGUUUUGAUGAAGGAAAGUCUUGCGAACCUUAUCAUUUAGAGGAAGGAGAAGUCGUAACA
rnacentral:rRNA from 1 species